rnacentral:tRNA from 1 species
GGUAAAAUGGCUGAGAUUAAUAGGCGAUAGAUUGUAAAUUUAUUUAGGAGAGUAUUUCUCUUUUACCA